AAAGGCCAAUCAAACUGAGAAAUAGCUCGUACUCCCCGAAAUGCAUUUAGGUGCAGCGUCAGAGUCGAGAGUUAUAGAGGUAGAGCUACUGAUUGGAUGCGAGGGCUUCGCCGCCUAUCAAAUCCAGACAAACUCCGAAUGCUAUAACUUAUAUCUGGCAGUGAGCCCGUGGGUGCUAAGGUCCACGGACGAGAGGGAAAGAACCCAGACCAUCAGCUAAGGUCCCCAAGUGUAUGUUAAGUUGAACAAACGAGGUGAGAUUGCUUAGACAGCUAGGAUGUUGGCUUGGAAGCAGCCAUUCAUUUAAAGAGUGCGUAACAGCUCACUAGUCGAGCGAUCUUGCGUGGAUGAUAAUCGGGCAUAAAUAUACCACCGAAGCUAUGGAUUUAGAAUUUAUUCUAACUGGUAGGGGAGCAUUCUAACGGCGCAGAAGCAGUAUGGUAAUGUAUUGUGGAGCUUUUAGAAAAGCAAAUGUAGGCAUAAGUAACGAUAAUGCGGGCGAGAAACCCGCACGCCAAUAGACUAAGGUUUCCUGAUCAACGCUAAUCGGAUCAGGGUAAGUCGGGACCUAAGGGGUAGCCGAAGGGCGAACUCGAUGGACAACCGGUUAAUAUUCCGGUACUUUCUAUAACUGCGAUGGGGUGACGAAGAGAUGACAAUGCCGCGAACUGACGGAAUAGUUCGUUGAAGGACGUAUGUGAUGAGACCGGUAGGCAAAUCCGCUGGUUGAGCUGAAAUCUGAUAGUACCGCAAUGCUACGGCAGCGCGGAUAGUGCAUGUAAUUUUACUUCCAAGAAAAACCUCUAAGCUUCAGGUUAUAGAGACCCGUACCGCAAACGGACACACGUAGUCAAGUAGAGAAUACUAAGGCGCUCGAGUGAUUCAUGGCUAAGGAACUCGGCAAAAUGGUCCUGUAACUUCGGGAGAAAGGACGCCUCUUUCGGGAGGCCGCAGUGAAAUGGCCCAGGCGACUGUUUACCAAAAACACAUGGCUUUGCAAAAUCGAAAGAUGAAGUAUAAGGCCUGACACCUGCCCGGUGCUGGAAGGUUAAGUGGAGGGCUUAGCGCAAGCGAAGGUCUGAAAUGAAGCCCCAGUAAACGGCGGCCGUAACUAUAACGGUCCUAAGGUAGCGAAAUUCCUUGUCGGGUAAGUUCCGACCUGCACGAAUGGUGUAACGAUCUGGCACUGUCUCAGCCAUGAGCUCGGUGAAAUUGUAGUAUCGGUGAAGAUGCCGAUUACCCGCAACGGGACGGAAAGACCCCGUGAACCUUUACUGCAGCUUCACAUUGAUUUUGGGUAAGUGAUGUGUAGGAUAGGACGGAGACUAUGAAGCAGCGCCGCCAGGUGUUGUGGAGUCAUCCUUGAAAUACGUCCCUUUGCUUAUCUGAAGUCUAACGUCUAACGACGGACAGUGUGUGGUGGGUAGUUUGACUGGGGUGGUCGCCUCCAAAAGAGUAACGGAGGCUUCUAAAGGUACCCUCAAGACGUUUGGUAAUCGUCUGAAGAGUGCAAUGGCACAAGGGUGCUUGACUGUGAGACAUACAGGUCGAGCAGGUACGAAAGUAGAGCAUAGUGAUCCGGUGGUUCCGUAUGGAAGGGCCAUCGCUCAAAGGAUAAAAGGUACUCCGGGGAUAACAGGCUGAUCGCUCCCAAGAGCUCAUAUCGACGGAGCGGUUUGGCACCUCGAUGUCGGCUCGUCACAUCCUGGGGCUGGAGAAGGUCCCAAGGGUUGGGCUGUUCGCCCAUUAAAGUGGCACGCGAGCUGGGUUCAGAACGUCGUGAGACAGUUCGGUCCCUAUCUGUUGUGGGCGUUGGAAAUUUGCGAGGAUCUGACUCUAGUACGAGAGGACCGGGUUGGACUAACCUCUAGUGUAUCUGUUGUGGCGCCAGCUGCAUAGCAGAGUAGCUACGUUGGGCAGGGAUAAGUGCUGAAAGCAUCUAAGCACGAAGCCUACCUCAAGAUGAGAUUUCCUUUAAGGGUCGUUAGAGACGAUAACGUUGAUAGGUUGCAGAUGUAAAGGUGGUAACAUCAAAGUCGAGCAAUACUAAUUACCCGAAAGCUUCUGAGU
rnacentral:rRNA from 1 species